AGAGGCUGCCUCGGGACGGCUCUGCCCCAGGGAGCGUGGGGCCAUCUGAGCCAAACAGAAUAGAGGGCUUGGACACAGCCCCGGAUGUGAGUUGAGCUCUGAAUGUCAAGACCAGUCCUGGGUGAGGAAACUGAAGCUCUGAGAGCAGUAGCUCCCCUGAGCCGUGCAGCUGGAGAGGGCUGCGCCAACAGCAGAGCUGGGGCUCUUUGCAGUCCCAUUUUCCACUGCUUUGGUCAGGGAGUGAGUCCCCUGAUGUCAUCCGAGGAUAUGAGGCAUCGCUAAAUCUGGCCAUCCCCUGAAGCACCCAGCCUCACCGACUUCCUGAAGCGUGGAUGAACGCUGCUGCCACAAAUGUGCUGUGACAACCGCUGACAAGGAGAGUGAGUGAUGUUUGUGCCAUCCUGCUGAGCACGAGGGAGCUGCUUGGGG
rnacentral:lncRNA from 1 species